GGGCACUAUGAGGGGCUCGCGGCCUAUCAGCUAGUUGGUGAGGUAAUGGCUCACCAAGGCUACGACGGGUAGCUGGUCUGAGAGGAUGGCCAGCCACAUUGGGACUGAGAAACGGCCCAGACUCCUACGGGAGGCAGCAGUGGGGAAUCUUGCGCAAUGGCCUAACGGCUGACGCAGCGACGCCGCGUGAGGGAUGACGCUCUUCGGAGUGUAAACCUCUUUUGCCUGGAACGAACUAUCAGCAUUCGCUGAUUUGACGGUACCGGGUGAAUAAGCACCGGCUAACUCCGUGCCGGCAGCCGCGGUAAUACGGGGGGUGCAAGCGUUGUCCGGAAUCACUGGGCGUAAAGGGCGCGUAGGUGGCAUGAUAAGGGUGUGGUGAAAGCCCGGGGCUCAACCCCGGGUCGGCCAUGCCGACUGUCACGCUAGAGUACUGUAGGGGCAGGCGGAAUUCCGGGUGUAGCGGUGGAAUGCGUAGAGAUCCGGAGGAAGACCGGUGGCGAAGGCGGCCUGCUGGGCAGUUACUGACACUGAUGCGCGACAGCGUGGGGAGCAAACAGGAUUAGAUACCCUGGUAGUCCACGCCGUAAACGAUGGGUACUAGGUGCCUGGGGGAGCGACCCCUUGGGUGCCGGCGCUAACGCAGGAAGUACCCCGCCUGGGGAGUACGGCCGCAAGGCUGAAACUCAAAGGAAUUGACGG
rnacentral:rRNA from 1 species